rnacentral:rRNA from 1 species
GGGAUGAGCUCAAAUUUGAAAUCUGGCGUCUUUCAGGCGUCCGAGUUGUAAUCUAUAGAGGCGUUUUCCGCGCCGGACCGCGUCCAAGUCUCUUGGAAUAGAGUAUCAAAGAGGGUGACAAUCCCGUACUUGACGCGACAACCGGUGCUCUGUGAUACGUUCUCAACGAGUCGAGUUGUUUGGGAAUGCAGCUCUAAAUGGGUGGUAAAUUCCAUCUAAGGCUAAAUAUUGGCGAGAGACCGAUAGCGAACAAGUACCGUGAGGGAAAGAUGAAAAGCACUUUGGAAAGAGAGUUAAACAGCACGUGAAAUUGUUAAAAGGGAAACGAUUGAAGUCAGUCGUGUGAAAGGUAUUCAGCCGUCUCUGGCGGUGUAUUUGCCUUUCACGGGUCAACAUCAGUUUAGUCCGGUAGAAAAAGGCUGGAGGAAGGUGGCACCCUCGGGUGUGUUAUAGCCUCCUGUCACAUGUGCCGGAUUAGACUGAGGAACGCAGCUUGCCGCAAGGCCGGGGUUCGCCCACGUACAAGCUUAGGAUGUUGACAUAAUGGCUUUAAACGACCCGUCUUGAAACAC